AUUGAACGCUGGCGGCAGGCCUAACACAUGCAAGUCGAGCGGAGCGGCGGACGGGUGAGUAAUGCCUGGGAAUCUGCCUGGUAGUGGGGGAUAACGUCCGGGAACGGGCGCUAAUACCGCAUACUAUCAGAUGAGCCUAGGUCGGAUUAGCUAGUUGGUGGGGUAAAGGCCUAGCAAGGCGACGAUCCGUAACUGGUCUGAGAGGAUGAUCAGUCACACUGGAACUGAGACACGGGCCAGAAUCCCACGGGAGGCAGCAGUGGGGAAUAGUGGACAAUGGGCGAAAGCCUGAUCCAGCCACGCCGAGUGUGCGAAGCAGGUCUUCGGAUGGUAAAGCACUGUAAGUUGGGAGGCGGUACCAACAGAAUAAGCACCGGCUAACUUCGUGCCAGCAGCCGCGGUAAUAC
rnacentral:rRNA from 1 species